GUGGGUAUACCUCAGUGGGAGAGUGCAUGCUUAGCAAACAUGAAGUCCUGAGUUCAAUCCUCAAUACCUCCA
rnacentral:tRNA from 1 species